GCUCAGGAUGAACGCUGGCGGCGUGCUUAACACAUGCAAGUCGAACGGGAAAUACUUUAUUGAAACUUCGGUGGAUUUAAUUUAUUUCUAGUGGCGGACGGGUGAGUAACGCGUGGGUAACCUGCCUUAUACCGGGGGAUAACAGCCAGAAAUGACUGCUAAUACCGCAUAAGCGCACAGAACCGCAUGGUUCGGUGUGAAAAACUCCGGUGGUAUAAGAUGGACCCGCGUUGGAUUAGCUAGUUGGCAGGGCAGUGGCCUACCAAGGCGACGAUCCAUAGCCGGCCUGAGAGGGUGAACGGCCACAUUGGGACUGAGACACGGCCCAGACUCCUACGGGAGGCAGCAGUA
rnacentral:rRNA from 1 species